rnacentral:autocatalytically_spliced_intron from 1 species
AAGAGCCGUACGGCGGGAGACUGUCACGUACGGAUCGGUAGGAGCCCGGAGGUGCAAUCCCUCCGGGCCACCCGAC